UCCAGCGCCUGCUCCGCUCCGCGCUGCCCGCCCGUCCCGAGCCUCGCCGGGAUCCCGCAGCUUCCCGCGGAGCCCAACACCUCGGGGAGACACCGGCGCCUCCCGCAUCCUCCCGCCGUGUGCGCGGAGGCGGAGGGGCCGCGCCCGCGGUGCCCGCCCGCCCCGGGAGCCGCCGCAGGACAGUUGUGCUAUUUUCUGAUGAAGCUAAGAAAUAACAAUGCACCACAUGAUAUUAACAUGAAUUAUUUCUAAUAUAAAAGUGCUACUUGAAACUCAAUAGGACACUGGAGCAGUACAGAAAGCCCAGCCAUGGCCUCAGUAACAAGUUAUUUGUGAUUGGUUUAUACUCAUGGGAUUUUUUUUUUCCCAGCAGAGAAAUUUUGCCCAGCAUUUGAUGAUAUGUGUAAAUAUUAAAAGGAAAGGAGGGAAGAACUAAUAGACAGCAUUAAAACAGAACAGCAAAUACCAGCAAAUUGUGGGUGCCAUAAUUUUAAUGGAUGGCUAUUAAAAAUAAAAGAGCAAAGUAGGCAAAAUAAAAGGGAGGUUUUAUUGGACAAAAUUGACAGUUGUUAUCCUCACUGAUUCCUGACAUUUCAAGAUCAGUUUUUUUAUCUAAUGUUUCAACAGCUUUGGGUAUUUCCUUCUGGUGAACCACACUCAGCUGUAGCUUUUUUUUCCCCUUGAAACCCAAAAAUGUUUUUUUGUAAAUGUGUUAAUAUUUAUUAUAGCCAGUGUCAAAAAAAAACCAAAACAAAACAAAAAACCAAACAGCUCCACACUCCACUUAUAUAUGAGCUUCUCCUCAGCCUUUCCUGGGAUGAUCAGAGCCCUGGGUGGGCACACUCAGCUUCCUCUGGCAGCAGCUGGAAUUUCAUGCACGGAUCCAAGGCAAAAUAAUGCCCCCAGGGUGAUGUGUUCCCACCCAAGCUGAGACCUCUGAUCCACCCUCCAGCCCUGAGAGGGCUCCUCCAGCCCUUCCCACCCUCCUGCAGCCACAUCCCAGAAUCGUGGAGCCACUCAGCUUGGAAAAGAUCUCUGAGAUCAUCGAGUCCAACCAUUAGCCCAGCACUGAACCACGUCCCUAAUGGAUAUCCAGGUGUUUUUAAAUCAGCUCCAGGAAUGGUGAUCCCACCACUUCUCUGAGCAGCCUCUUCCGGUGCUGGACAACCCUUUUGGUGAAGAAUUUUUCCGUAAUACCCGACCUAAACCUCUCCUGGCACAAUGAAAAGCUGUUUUUUUCUUGUUUAUCACCUGGUCUGUGAGAGAAGAGUCUGACCUCCACCUGUCCACAACGUCCUUUCCUCCAUCAGGACAAUGUGCUGCAGCCUUUUCAACCCUUUUUAUUCAGUAGAGAGGCUUCUUGUCACCUGGCAGCCCAAGUGGAGGUUUUAAUGUCCUAAAGGAGGCUGAACAUGGACCACAGAGAGGAAGAACAUGGACUUGGAACUGUGUUUUCUGAAUCUCUCCAUCCAUUGCUCACAGAUCCUGGUGGCAGGACACACCUUCAGAUGGCAAUUUCACUACUCCCAUUAGAAAAAUCCUAGAUAAUGCAGAAAACCUGCUUGAAUUCUUGUUGUGGAAUAAUGGUUGUGGUUUAUUUUGACACCUCCACACUCUGCAUGUGGACAUUUUCUAUUGCAAUUUCUUCUUUGGCUUCCUUUCCUUUUCACCUUGUGGGCUAAUCUUCCAUACAUCCCAAUUCCUGGAUUUUGCCUGGGUACACAGAAAUGGAGAUUAACCUCCAGUAUGUGCUGUAAGCAACAGCCUGGAUUUUCAGGGCAUCUGGAUUUAGAGUUGCCAGAAUUAGAAACACGAGCCUGACGAGAUCAUGCUAGGGCAAUUCCCCAGCACUGGGCCAUAAAGCCAAUCAAUUUAAAAUGUAAUAGAAAGCACCAAAUUCUGGGUGAAGGAAGGCACUUACUGCUCUUUUGGAAAGAAAAGCUCAUAUUCGAAAUUGCUUUUCAGAUCAGACUCGAGCUUACUUUUAGUGAUGUCGGUGAUGCCACUUGUGUUCAGAAUUUUCUGUUUACUGCUGUUCCUUCUCCAUUUCCUCCUCUCCUCCUUUUCCUAAGGUCCCUGGCAUGGCUCAGAGGAGGCUCCAGGAUGAUCCUAGGGAUGGAGCAGCUCUGCAGGGAGGAAAGGCUGGGAGAGCUGGGGUUGUCCAGCCUGGAGAGGAGAAGCUUUGGGGUGAGCUCACUGUGGCCUGGAGGAGUUGGAGGAAGGAUGGAGAGAGACUUUGGAGAAGGGAUGGAUGGACAGGACACAGGGAAUGGCUUCAAGAGAGCAGAGUUAGAUGGGAUUUGGGAAGGAAUUCCUGGCUGUGAUGGUCGUGAGGCUCUAGCACAGUUUCCCAGAGCAACUGUGGCUGCCCCUGGAUCCCUGGAAGUGCCCAAGGCCAGGUUGGACACUGGGGCUUGGAGCAGCCUGGGACACUGAAGGUGUCCCUGCCCAUGGCAGGGGUGGCACUGGAUGGGUUUUAAGGUCCCUUCCAACUCAAAUCAUUCUGUGAUUCCAGGAUUUUUCUUCUUCGAGGACAGUUAGGACAUGGAGACAGAACUGAUUGAAAAGAGUUAGUGAGAUGAAGUCAUUUUAAUCUCAUGGAAAAAGGAGUUCACUAGCCAUGGAGAGGAUGAUGGCAAUGAUGUCUGCUCUGCUCUUGCAACUUUUGCCCCAGUUUUGUUUUGCUCCCAAGGACAGAAGGUGACCUUUCAUCCAAAACGGGCUCACUGGGAAGUUCAAGAUGAGCUGACUCACUCCCAUUCCACUUAUCCCUAAUGGAAGUUGUGGAUUAAUGCACCUCUAAAAAUGGCCAGAGAGGUUUGGGGCCUGAACUUGUGGCUGUCUCCUAACACCAAACACUGCAGUUCUUGGGUUUCCGGUGCGUGGUGCAUUAACUCAUCAGCAGGCACUUAGGAUGUAAUUUUUCUUACGUUAAAAUUAUGAAACGGUGAGAGCCAAAAUGAGCUGAGUGUCCUCCUCGGCCUGCAGCUCUAAGUGACCUCUGGAAGAGAACUGCUCUCCCUCUUUCCCACCAGCCAGGAGUCCUUCUGGAAAUUGCCAUCAGAAAUCAAAUCUCGUGGCUACUUUACAUGCAGGAGUUCCCUGAUUCCUUCUCUGAUAUAAUUUUGUUGAAGAGGGAAAUUUCUGGUUUUCUUUUUCAAAUUCCAAGGUUUUGGCACUUUUACAAAAGACCAAAUUUCUUUCACCAGGAACUUUGGGAACUGCGAUUUUUGGUCACUUCAUCCAAGGAGUCAUUACAUGUGGAUGUGCAAAGAGAACCAGAGGUCUAGGAAGCCAGAUUCACCCAGGAAAGAGUAAAUUAGGAUAGUUCUGAAUGGAAGAGUGGAAGGAAAAUGACAAUACUUUUGAAUUAUAAAAGAUUAUGUUGAAAAAUAAAGGGAACACUCUGCUUUUGACAAAUAACAUCAGGGAGAGAACAAUAAAUUGCUCUUAAUUUGGAAUUUAGAUUGAUACCAAAUAUAUUUGAUGGAGAGAGUGGCUAAGGAGGUCACAACCCCACAAUCCUGUGGCUGUUCAUGCUGAGGGACAAAUUGCUUGUGACCAUAUAUUACGCUCCUUAAAAUAAAUAUAUUGUCGAUAAACACAGGGAGAAAAUCCAGUAAAAAGCAGAUUUGGAACCAGGUUCCAAUAGAAACAAUGACAUAAAAAAUGUAACAUGAAAGGAUUGAAGCUUUCUAGAUCAACGUGGCUAAGUAGUGUUCAGGGCAUUUCAUAUCCUGGCCCUGAAUUCAUGGAAUUGGUUAAAAUCAUCUUCUUGGAAGUAUAUACAUGGGUAUAUGGAUACACAAACACCCACAUGCCUGCUCACCUGCAUUCUCGGAUUGUUUGUGCACAUCUGCAAGUUUUCAAGGGUCCUGUGUUUAGGGUUUUUAUUUUCCAUUCAUUUUCUCUCUUUCUGCACCAUCCAUCUCCGUCUGGCUGGCUGGAUAGCUGGGAAAUACCAGCUCCUUGGGAAGUCACCUUUCAGAACUUUGGGGAAAAAAUCUCAAAUAAGCAGAUUUAUAACAAGCUCUGAGCACUGGGAUUCCUGAAUAGAGAUAAAAUCUUAGGCAUGAGGGUAAUGUUGGAAUGUAAAAUCCGUAACAAUUUCCUCCCUGCUUUCACAGCAUCAAAUGUUUGCAGUUCCAGGGAGUGUGAGCGGGGCUCCCUUUUAGCUGUUGAUUUAACUGGGCUUAAAAUCCAAUGAAUAAAUUGUCCAUAGUUGAUCAGCUUGUGGGGUGCUCAGUGCCCACACACCAAAUAAUAAGCUCCACAUCCUACUGUGAGCAGUUUAUGGCCAGAAGACUGCGGGAACACGGCGGUGGAACUGUCAAAAUAAAAAACAUGUAAUGGGCUCAUAAACGAAAUGGACGGAUAUUGGUUUACAAUCAAGCCCAUAAAUACGUGUCACACCUGUCCUCUGGGUGGUCAGCAGCAAUCUGGCUGCCAAAAUCUGAGCAUAUUUUUGAGCUGGUGCUGUCUGAUUUGCCCUUCCCUCCUUGCUGAGCGAUACCAAGGGGUGAAGUUGGAGGCUGAAGUGAAAUGGUGACACUGCAGGCCAGGUGAUGUGAAUGUUUCAAGCUAAAUAUCCAACAAAUCCAGGAUAAUUCAAGGCUAAUUGUGUUUUAUUGUGUUAACCCUUUUAGGAAAAAAAAAUCAAUGAAAAUAGGUUUACAGCAGCUGUUU